GUGUUAGCUUCAGCAGCACAUAUAUUUAAAUCAGAAUGAUACAGACAUUAUCAUGGCCCUUAUGCAAGGAUGACAGGGAAAACCAUGAAGUAUUCCAUAUUUUU
ensembl:snRNA U6 U6 spliceosomal RNA